rnacentral:rRNA from 1 species
GACGAACGCUGGCGGCGUGCUUAACACAUGCAAGUCGAACGGAAAGGCCCUGCUUGCAGGGUACUCGAGUGGCGAACGGGUGAGUAACACGUGGGUGAUCUGCCCUGCACUUCGGGAUAAGCCUGGGAAACUGGGUCUAAUACCGGAUAGGAGCCAGUUUUAGUGUGAUGGUUGGAAAGUUUUUUCGGUGUAGGAUGAGCUCGCGGCCUAUCAGCUUGUUGGUGGGGUAAUGGCCUACCAAGGCGGCGACGGGUAGCCGGCCUGAGAGGGUGGACGGCCACAUUGGGACUGAGAUACGGCCCAGACUCCUACGGGAGGCAGCAGUGGGGAAUAUUGCACAAUGGGCGCAAGCCUGAUGCAGCGACGCCGCGUGGGGGAUGACGGCCUUCGGGUUGUAAACUCCUUUCGCUAGGGACGACGCUUUUUGUGACGGUACCUAGAUAAGAAGCACCGGCUAACUACGUG